rnacentral:rRNA from 1 species
GAUGAACGCUGGCGGCGUGCUUAACACAUGCAAGUCGAACGGUAACAGGCCGCAAGGUGCUGACGAGUGGCGAACGGGUGAGUAAUGCAUCGGAACGUGCCCAGUCGUGGGGGAUAACGCAGCGAAAGUUGCGCUAAUACCGCAUACGAUCUAUGGAUGAAAGCGGGGGACCGUAAGGCCUCGCGCGAUUGGAGCGGCCGAUGUCAGAUUAGGUAGUUGGUGGGUAAAGGCUCACCAAGCCGACGAUCUGUAGCUGGUCUGAGAGGACGACCAGCCACACUGGGACUGAGACACGGCCCAGACUCCUACGGGAGGCAGCAGUGGGGAAUUUUGGACAAUGGGCGCAAGCCUGAUCCAGCAAUGCCGCGUGCAGGAAGAAGGCCUUCGGGUUGUAAACUGCUUUUGUACGGAACGAAACGGUCCUGGUUAAUACCUGGGGCUAAUGACGGUACCGUAAGAAUAAGCACCGGCUAACUACGUGCCAGCAGCCGCGGUAACAC